rnacentral:tRNA from 1 species
UGCUUUUGUAGCUUAAAGGGUAAAGCUGUUGAUUUGUAAUCAGCUGUUCCGGGUUCAAUUCCUGGCGAAAGUAU